GGAUCAAUGUUUCGGUCAUGCCGUUGGUAUGUACUGAUAUUAUUGGUUUCUCACCUUCUAAAGAACCGUAAUGCCAUUAAUUUGGUGUCACGGGGAAUUAGGACUGUUACCUUGAAAAAAUUAGAGUGUUUAAAGCAGGCUAACGCUUGAAUACAUUAGCAUGGAAUAAUGAAAUAGGACGUUCGAUCUUAUUUUGUUGGUUUCUAAGAUUGACGUAAU
rnacentral:rRNA from 1 species